rnacentral:piRNA from 1 species
GAGGCACAUAAAUAGGAUCUGCAUCAGCAGU